rnacentral:rRNA from 1 species
GGGCGGCUAUACAUGCAAGUCGAGCGGACAGAAGGGAGCUUGCUCCCGGAUGUUAGCGGCGGACGGGUGAGUAACACGUGGGUAACCUGCCUGUAAGACUGGGAUAACUCCGGGAAACCGGAGCUAAUACCGGAUAGUUCCUUGAACCGCAUGGUUCAAGGAUGAAAGACGGUUUCGGCUGUCACUUACAGAUGGACCCGCGGCGCAUUAGCUAGUUGGUGAGGUAACGGCUCACCAAGGCGACGAUGCGUAGCCGACCUGAGAGGGUGAUCGGCCACACUGGGACUGAGACACGGCCCAGACUCCUACGGGAGGCAGCAGUAGGGAAUCUUCCGCAAUGGACGAAAGUCUGACGGAGCAACGCCGCGUGAGUGAUGAAGGUUUUCGGAUCGUAAAGCUCUGUUGUUAGGGAAGAACAAGUGCAAGAGUAACUGCUUGCACCUUGACGGUACCUAACCAGAAAGCCACGGCUAACUACGUGCCAGCAGCCGCGGUAAUACGUAGGUGGCAAGCGUUGUCCGGAAUUAUUGGGCGUAAAGGGCUCGCAGGCGGUUUCUUAAGUCUGAUGUGAAAGCCCCCGGCUCAACCGGGGAGGGUCAUUGGAAACUGGGAAACUUGAGUGCAGAAGAGGAGAGUGGAAUUCCACGUGUAGCGGUGAAAUGCGUAGAGAUGUGGAGGAACACCAGUGGCGAAGGCGACUCUCUGGUCUGUAACUGACGCUGAGGAGCGAAAGCGUGGGGAGCGAACAGGAUUAGUUUUUGUGUG